rnacentral:lncRNA from 1 species
GAUGCCUUUCCAGACUAAAACCCAAACAUGUGAGCUGCUGGCCGGACACAACAAUGACCCACAGGCUGAAAACCACUAAACUAGAAAAACAACCAAAACAGCUUCUGACAUGGACAUUCACAAAUUUUCAAUUGCAAUAUCAGCCACUUCUAAACUACUUGUUUAAGCUGUUGAUUUGGAGAAAAGAAAGAAACAAGGUAAAAAGGAAAGGAAAACCAAUAACACAGUAUCACCAUGCAAGAUGAGGAAGAAAGACUAUAAUAGUCAGAGAUCAUCAAGGUCUACUUAGAAACAUUAUCUCCCAGACAUAACAGGCUCAUUACACAUAUGAAAUCACAGAAACUCUGACCAUAUGGAAAAUGACUGCAUUAAGUAAAAUCAGACACAAUCCCAACUUAGACCAGGGAGUAGCUCAUGAAGCUCAAUCCUGGAUGAGAUGCUUCCGGAAACGGCUGACUCCUGGGAAAGAAGAAGAAGAAGUAUUAUUUAGAGAUGCAGCCCCUAGAAGACUACCUAUAUCACAGUAGAUAGUUGUACACCUUUGCAUACCCAGUCAGGAUUAUUUGGCUUUAAAAAGAAAAAAAAAAAAAAAACACAUAAAUUUAAGAAGGAAAAUGUAGGAGGCAUUGAGAAAGAAUUGGAGUGGAAGAAAUAAGGGGCAGCUUUGAUCAAAACAUGUAUACAUGUAUGAAAUUCUCAAGAGAGAGAGAAAGAAAGAAAGAAAGAAAGAAAGAAAGAAAGAAAGAAAGAAAGAAAGAAAGAGAGAAACAAUCCAUAAUUCUAAUGAAUCAUCCUUUAGCCUUAAGAGCCCUGCACUACUGUAAGCCCUCCUUCAACUUGCCCUUGUUCUUUGUAUUUAUUUCCUAAAUAAAAAUUUAUUGAUUAAUU